GUGCUCGCUGCCGUAGCACAUAUGCUAAAAGGGGAACCACACAGAGAAGAGUAGCACGGCCCCUGCCAAGGAUGAUGCAAAUUUGUGAAGAGCUCCAUGUUAUU